rnacentral:rRNA from 1 species
CAAUAGCGUAUAUUAAAGUUGUUGCAGUUAAAAAGCUCGUAGUUGGAUUUCGGGGUGGCCUGCCUGGUCCACCGCAAGGUGAGUACUGGUCAGCCGCCCUUCCUCUCGAAAGCCCCGACUGCUCUUCAUUGCAGUGGUCGGGUAGUUCGGGACGUUUACUUUGAAAAAAUUAGAGUGUUCAAGGCAGGCUCUCGCCUGAAUACAUUAGCAUGGAAUAAUGGAAGAGGACCUCGGUCCUAUUUUGUUGGUUUCUAGGGCCGAAGUAAUGAUUAAGAGGGACAGUUGGGGGCAUUCGUAUUUAAUUGUCAGAGGUGAAAUUCUUGGAUUUAUGAAAGACGAACUACUGCGAAAGCAUUUGCCAAGGAUGUUUUCAUUAA